rnacentral:rRNA from 1 species
CGGGAAUUUUGGGCAAUGGGCGAAAGCCUGACCCAGCAACGCCGCGUGAAGGAUGAAGUAUUUCGGUAUGUAAACUUCGAAAGAAUGGGAAGAAUCAAUGACGGUACCAUUUAUAAGGUCCGGCUAACUACGUGCCAGCAGCCGCGGUAAUACGUAGGGACCAAGCGUUGUUCGGAUUUACUGGGCGUAAAGGGCGCGUAGGCGGCAAUUCAAAUCAGCUGUGAAAUCUCUGGGCUUAACCCAGAACGGCCAGCUGAUACUGCUUUGCUAGAGUGCAGAAGGGGCAAUCGGAAUUCUUGGUGUAGCGGUGAAAUGCGUAGAUAUCAAGAGGAACACCUGAGGUGAAGACGGGUUGCUGGGCUGACACUGACGCUGAGGCGCGAAAGCCAGGGGAGCAAA